UACGAAGGGACCUAGCGUCGUUCGGAAUUACUGGGCUUAAAGAGUUCGUAGGUGGUUGAAAAAGUUAGUGGUGAAAUCCCAGAGCUUAACUCUGGAACUGCCAUUAAAACUUUUCAGCUAGAGUAUGAUAGAGGAAAGCAGAAUUUCUAGUGUAGAGGUGAAAUUCGUAGAUAUUAGAAAGAAUACCAAUUGCGAAGGCAGCUUUCUGGAUCAUUACUGACACUGAGGAACGAAAGCAUGGGUAGCGAAGAGG
rnacentral:rRNA from 1 species